UGGGGAAUAUUGGACAAUGGGGGGAACCCUGAUCCAGCCAUGCCGCGUGUGUGAAGAAGGCCUUAUGGUUGUAAAGCACUUUAAGCGAGGAGGAGGGUACUGGUAUUAAUACUACCAGGUACUGGACGUUACUCGCAGAAUAAGCACCGGCUAACUCUGUGCCAGCAGCCGCGGUAAUACAGAGGGUGCGAGCGUUAAUCGGAUUUACUGGGCGUAAAGCGUGCGUAGGCGGCUAAUUGAGUCGGAUGUGAAAUCCCCGAGCUUAACUUGGGAAUUGCAUUCGAUACUGGUUAGCUAGAGUGUGGGAGAGGAUGGUAGAAUGCCAGGUGUAGCGGUGAAAUGCGUAGAGAUCGGGAGGAAUACCGAUGGCGAAGGCAGCCAUCUGGCCUAACACUGACGCUGAGGUACGAAAGCAUGGGGAGCAAACAGG
rnacentral:rRNA from 1 species